AUACCUUUCUCGGCCUUUUGGCUAAGAUCAAGUGUAGUAUCUGUUCUUAUCAGUUUAAUAUCUGAUACGUGGGCCAAUGGCCCACAUGAUAUUAAAUUAAUUUUUUUUGAGGGAAAGCCCAUUAAGUCAGCUUGCUGGCUGGGUUUUCACGUGUCGCUCAUGCGUUGCACUAUUGCACGAGCCUGGCACACCCCAC